rnacentral:rRNA from 1 species
UCAUAUGCUUGUCUAAAAGAUUAAGCCAUGCAAGUGCGAGUGAUUCGGUGCAUCCAUCAGUAAAAUGAGGGAAGGCGCUCAGGAUGACUGCGAAAGGCUCAUUAAAACAGUUAUUGGAUCUGGAUGGUCAGAAGAAGACAAGAAGGAUAAGGGUGUGAAAUUGUAACCCGCACGAGGGAGGGGGAUCUCGAUCAAACAAUGUCCUAAAAACACAUUGGAAUGAAGAAGGGAUUUCUAGAAUUUCAUAGAGAUAUGAGAGGGAGCAUGUGAAUAUUUGACCUAUCAACUGGGGAUGGUAGUAUAGGGGACUACGAUGGUGGUGACGGGUGACGGAGGAUCAGGGUUUGAGACCGGAGAGGGGGCCUGAGAGAUGGCCACCACUUCUAAGGAAGGCAGCAGGCGCGAAAAUUACCCAAUGUUGGAACAGUGAGGUAGUGACAAGGAAUAACUGCGAAGAUCAUAUUUUGCACUUUUCGUGGUAAUGGAAGGAGGAUAGAGAGGUUCUUGAGUAACGAUCAGAGGGAAAGUCUGGUGCCAGCAGCCGCGGUAAUUCCAGCUCUGAAAGCGUAUACUAGAGUUGUUGCGGUAUAAGCUCGUAGUUGGGAGAAGGAGACAUUGAGAAAAAUAGAGUGUUUAAGGGUGAAGUGGGAGAGGCAGGACGCCUAUGAUGAGAACCGUGCCAAAUGGUUUUUUUGUGAGAGAGAUUAGAAACAUAGAGGAUAUAGUAUUUAUAGUAGAGGUGAAAUUCUAUGAUUUAUGAAAGACUAACAGGGGCGAAAGCAUUAUCUCUUGUAUGUUAUUGAUAAAGAACGAAAGUUAGGGGAUCGAAGAUGAUUAGAUACCGUCGUAGUCCUAGACUAUAAACAAUACUAACUAUGGAUUUGGGGGGCCAUGGAAGAAAACACUUCUUUCACGGGGCGCGUGAGGACAUUGCGAGAAAUCAUUGAGUAUUUGAGUUCCGGGGGGAGUAUGGUUGCAAGACUGAAACUUAAAGGAAUUGACGGAGGGGCACCACAAGGCGUGGAGCUUGCGGCUUAAUUUGACUCAACACGGAGAAACUUACCAGACCAAGACAUCAUUGAGGAUUGACAGACGAGGAGGUUUUUCGAGAUAGGAUGGGAGGUGGUGCAUGGCCGUUCUUAGUUGGUGGAGUGAUUUGUCAGGUUAAUUCCGAUAACGAACGAGAUUUUAGUGGAAGAGACGAAGAACUGAAUGCAUAAUUCGAUUCUUUGGUUAUUUCAGAUGGAUAGGAAAAUAAACUAUAGGAAGAUUAAAGUGAUAACAGGUCUGUGAUGCCCUUAGAUGGUUUGGGCUGCACGCGUGCUACAAUGAUAGAGACAGAGAUCCACCAAGAUUUCAUUAUUUUGGAUUGACGCAUCGAAGGAUGGGUUGAAAGGAUGGAGAAUCUAUCAUGUUAGGGGAUUAACGAUUGGAAUUAUUCGUUAUGAACACGGAAUGCCUAGUAAGUAUAAGUCAACAGGUUAUAUUGAUUAGGUCCCUGCCUCUUGUACACACCGCCCGUCGCUGCUACCGAUUGAAUAGUAAAUGUGAAAUGGGAGGACUGGCCACUCUUGUUUAUUCAGGAGAGGAAAGGAAAACUAUUGAAUGUUUAUAUUUAGAGGAAGCAAAAGUCGUAACAAGGUUUCC